rnacentral:rRNA from 1 species
UACGAAGGGUGCAAGCGUUACUCGGAAUUACUGGGCGUAAAGCGUGCGUAGGUGGUCUGUUAAGUCUGAUGUGAAAGCCCUGGGUUCAACCUGGGAAUUGCAUUGGAUACUGGCAGGCUAGAGUGCGGUAGAGGGUAGUGGAAUUCCCGGUGUAGCAGUGAAAUGCGUAGAGAUCGGGAGGAACACCAGUGGCGAAGGCGACUACCUGGACCAGCACUGACACUGAGGCACGAAAGCGUGGGGAGCAAACAGG